rnacentral:rRNA from 1 species
AUUGAACGCUGGCGGCAGGCUUAACACAUGCAAGUCGAGCGAGCGGCGGACGGGUGAGUAAUGUCUGGGAAACUGCCUGAUGGAGGGGGAUAACUACUGGAACCGGUAGCUAAUACCGCAUACCAUCAGAUGUGCCCAGCUGGGAUUAGCUAGUAGGUGGGGUAAUGGCUCACCUAGGCGACGAUCCCUAGCUGGUCUGAGAGGAUGACCAUCCACACUGGAACGGAGACACGGUCCAGACUCCUACGGGAGGCAGCAGUGGGGAAGAUGGCACAAUGGGCGCAAGCCUGAUGCAGCCAUGCCGCGUGUAUGAAGAAGGCCUUCGGGUUGUAAAGUACUUUCAGCGAGGAGGCGGUACUCGCAGAAGAAGCACCGGCUAACUCCGUGCCAGCAGCCGCGGUAAUUC